CCUACGGGGGGCUGCAGUGGGGAAUAUUGGACAAUGGGGGCAACCCUGAUCCAGCCAUGCUGCGUGUGUGAAGAAGGCCCUCGGGUUGUAAAGCACUUUCAGUGAGGAAGAACGCCUGGUGGUUAAUACCCAUCAGGAAAGACAUCACUCACAGAAGAAGCACCGGCUAACUCCGUGCCAGCAGCCGCGGUAAUACGGAGGGUGCGAGCGUUAAUCGGAAUUACUGGGCGUAAAGCGCGCGUAGGUGGCUUGAUAAGCCGGUUGUGAAAGCCCCGGGCUCAACCUGGGAACGGCAUCCGGAACUGUCAAGCUAGAGUGCAGGAGAGGAAGGUAGAAUUCCCGGUGUAGCGGUGAAAUGCGUAGAGAUCGGGAGGAAUACCAGUGGCGAAGGCGGCCUUCUGGACUGACACUGACACUGAGGUGCGAAAGCGUGGGUAGCAAACAGGAUUAGAUACCCUGGUAGUC
rnacentral:rRNA from 1 species